rnacentral:rRNA from 1 species
AACGCGUGAGUAACCUGCCUUACACAAGGGGAUAGCCUCUGGAAACGGAGAAUAAUACCCUAUGAAACUAUCUUAUCGCAUGAAAAGAUAGUCAAAGUGUUUUAGCGGUGUAAGAUGGACUUGCGUCUGAUUAGCUAGUUGGUGAGAUAACAGCCCACCAAGGCAACGAUCAGUAGCCGGCUUGAGAGAGUGUACGGCCACAUUGGGACUGAGACACGGCCCAG